CGCUGGGUCGACUGCAGAAACGAUCGUCUGGGUGUCGGAGAGGGAUCGGGCGGGAUUUUUUUCGAAUGCCCGUGGAUGCUGAGGAAUGUUGGCGGUCGCGACCGCCGCGCUAAGAGUUAGUUGAUGUAGAAGGUUCUUCUUUUGCACAGUGAAAACAAAAUAUGAGAAUUAACGGGGAAUGAACAACAACUUCUAAAAUCAGAUGAAAUCAAAAGUGGUUCAACUUGAUAUACGAGUUUAUUAUCAGCACAAAUGAAGAUUGCCAAAAAAGGUUAUGGAUGAACCUUUGCUGAUAAGCAUGGAAUUCGAAGAAGCGCAAUGAUAGUGAAGAACCAAUAGCAGAUUCGCAACUGGAGCUGAGCCUCAUAAAUUCUUACCACCCUGAAUAGGUUCCCUUUUUAUUGCUGGUGAGAAACGACAGAAGAAACAAGAAAAAAAUAAUAAUAAUAAUAAUUCACCAGAAUGUAGAAGUAUUUGUGUUUUAGUAUCUCAGACAGAAGAACAAAUGGUGUGUAAUAUAGAUCCUAUUGUCCCCGCAGAACAUCAGCAAACUACUUAUCU